rnacentral:piRNA from 1 species
GACAAAGAUUCUGACCAAGGCCCAAUGU